GGUAUUUACAUAUCUUGGGGAGAUUUAGAGUAUAAACUCUAAGAUCUUGGGUAUUUAAGUGUCAGCAUCGAUUUAUUUAUUUAUUGCUGAGCUGACUGUAACUGACUCAAUAACAAAUCUGAUCUUGUAUUAUACUGGAAAUAUUCUUAUGUAUUCUCUCCAAAUAAUGGCUCACUAUUGCAUUUGAAUGCCCACUAUAAAUAUCAAUAAUAUCGAAUAAUGACU
rfam:Oryctolagus cuniculus cont2.35945, whole genome shotgun sequence.